GUAGUUUGAUCAGUGGCUCAGAACGACGCUGGCGGCAUGCCUAACACAUGCAAGUCGAACGAGACCUUCGGGGUCUAGUGGCGCACGGGUGCGUAACGCGUGGGAAUAUGCCCUUAGGUACGGAAUAACACAGAGAAAUUUGUGCUAAUACCGUAUGAUGUCUUCGGACCAAAGAUUUAUCGCCUAGGGAUUAGCCCGCGUAGGAUUAGCUUGUUGGUGAGGUAAAGGCUCACCAAGGCGACGAUCCUUAGCUGGUCUGAGAGGAUGAUCAGCCACACUGGGACUGAGACACGGCCCAGACUCCUACGGGAGGCAGCAGUGGGGAAUAUUGGACAAUGGGCGAAAGCCUGAUCCAGCAAUGCCGCGUGAGUGAAGAAGGCCUUCGGGUUGUAAAGCUCUUUUACCCGGGAAGAUAAUGACUGUACCGGGAGAAUAAGCCCCGGCUAACUCCGUG
rnacentral:rRNA from 1 species